CCGAGAGGCUGUCGGCGGCCGCCGCCGCCGCCCGCAGGCUGCCGAGCGCACAGCUCCCCGGUUCGCCGACUCGUGCGCGCGCGCACCCGGGCAGGGCGGGGGCUUCUGGAGAGUGGGGACCGCGCGGGAUGGAGGCAGUCAAGGCAUGCUGGCUGCGGCCGGCGCUGGAGGGACCCUUUAGUUCUCAGUACUCCCUGAGCGGGCGGGUUCGUUCCAUCCCGGUUGGCGAUGAAGACAUCCUUUUCUGUGUGCUCGCGGCUCCGCGCUGCGUGGCCAGGAAUGGCUAGAGGGAAAAUCUGGCCUGGAGGCUCGGAUUCUGAGACCUUCGGAGCCAGGCCGGGCGUGAGCGGGCUUGGGGGGGUUCUCUGCGUGCAAGAAUUCUAACCUCCCCAGUCACUGCUUCUAGGCCCACCCGCUGCUCUGUUCAAAUUUUAUUAUAAGAAGCAUAUUCAUUUGGCUCCUGGUUUUCCACUACCUCUUCCUCUUCCCAAAACCCAGGAACUCGAAAUACUGGAAUUCAACGCCCCCCCACCCCGGUUGAUCCAUUUAAUUCCUUGGGUCUAAAAUAGAAAUCAGGCCGCCAACUAAUAAAAAUCGGGCAGCAAAGCUAAAUGGAGCUGAUCGUUUUCCCCUCAUCAUUUUGAUCUCA
rnacentral:lncRNA from 1 species